ACGAACGCUGGCGGCGUGCUUAACACAUGCACGUCGAACGGAAAGGCCCUGCUUUUGUGGGGUGCUCGAGUGGCGAACGGGUGAGAAACACGUGAGUAACCUGCCCUUGACUUUGGGAUAACUUCAGGAAACUGGGGCAAAUACCGGAUAGGAGCUCCUGCUGCAUGGUGGGGGUUGGAAAGUUUCGGCGGUUGGGGAUGGAUUCGCGGCUUAUCAGCUUGUUGGUGGGGUAGUGGCUUACCACGGCUUUGACGGGUAGCCGGCCUGAGAGGUGUACCGGCCACAUGAGGACUGAGAUACGGCCCAGACUCCUACGGGAGGCAGCAGUGGGGAAUAUUGCACAAUGGGCGGAAGCCUGAUGCAGCAACGCCGCGUGCGGGAUGACGGCCUUCGGGUUGUAAACCGCUUUCGCCUGUUACGAAGCGUGAGUGACGGUAAUGGGUAAAGAAGCACCGGCUAACUACGUG
rnacentral:rRNA from 1 species